CAUAGUGCAGAUGCCUGAACAGAAGUUUGCAGGACACAGUAGAGCAUUUCUGUCACCCCAGCACUCCCCGCAUAAAAGCAGGAGGUUAAAGUCAGGGAAGGCGUUGGGAUCCGACAGAGUAACAUCGUGAAGGCACCGCAGGCCAAGACAUGGAACCAGCACAUGAGUUCACCCUCAGAUAAAUGGAUGAGAGAAAAUACACUACAAAUAUGA